rnacentral:hammerhead_ribozyme from 1 species
GCUUUGCUGACGGGUGCCAAACAGGACGAAACAAGUGUCCAGUGC